UGUAAUGCUAUUAAGAUGCAUUGGGAGUUGGAAGAGAGUGCACUGUGGGAAGGGUUAGGGUGUUUGGGGUAUUAGGUUGCCUAAGACUCCUGUUACGCAGCUGGACUCAUUUUACAAAAACACACAGCCUGCUGCAGUUUUUUUUUGUUUUGUUUCAUUGGAAACAAUAUUUUAUUUUUAACCCAACCCCACCGUAUUUAUUACAGGAUUCAGAUAUCCAGCUAUUAUAUAUAUUGUAACUGAAUGCUGUUGUUUCAUCAAUAUUGCAAAAGAGGUUGCAAAACGAAACUAAUUGCAUGAUCUGUAACAGCAAUAACAGGGUUGCUGGCGCCAGCUGAGGCGGGACCUCUUCCUCAAAGUCUGAGGCAACUUGUUAUUCUCCUCACAGCACUGCAGGAAUGCAGCCGUGUACUAGUACUGUCUUUUUAGAGAGGAUUACUCGCAUUUUUAGAUGACCUACACUUCACUUUGGACUAUGUGCACUAUUCUCUGCACAUAACACUAAAUAAGGAAUAUCCUGGACCAAUAGUUGGUUAGAAGCGGCGUGCAGUCAUUUCCAAUUUAACGGGGGAGCAGCAGCGUUUAAUACGUGUAUUAAAACAUCUUGGAACCUCCAGGAAGCUGCAACAAAGAAGGCACUGGAUUCACCACAGCACACUUCAUAAGAACUUUGAGGCUCCUCCCUCUGAGCACAGCGGCGUAAAAUAAGCGAAGAUUGGACCUUUUUCAGUGAUAUUUGAGCUGAAAGAUUUCCAAAGACUCACUGAAGACUGAAGACAAUUCUGGAGAGGAUUUAGUCUCAGUAUUAAGUUUCUAUUUUACAUGGCUUCAUCUAUCUCUUUUUAAAGCUGCUGGAAUGGGUGAUUUUUCUUGCGUUUGUGGUGAAUUAGGGCAUGUGUACGCUGUUAUUUUUCUGAAAUGCGAGGUGUUGUGUAGCUUUAGACACUUUAUCUGGAAAUCUCGCCAAGAUAUCCGCACUCUCUAACAGGCGUGUAUUGACUUUAAAUUGGCCUCUAAAGGGCUUUGCUGUCAGAAUGAUUCCCCAUUAUAACAUCAUCAUAUUGAUCUGAACCAUCCCAGAGAUCUCACCAUCCUGAGCUGUCCCCUGAAGACGUAAAUUAACAGAAUAAUUACAGUAUAGAAUCUCUUGUAAUAGAGAUGCUUAAGAUCUUUUAAAUCUGUUAGGAAAUUUGGGCGAGUGCCACUGUUUAAUAUAACAAGUGCCCAGUAUUAUCUGGUAUUAAGGUCAGAUUGAGGUCAUAAUGACGACUUCUUAUGGUGUUUCCAGUACAAUUGAACAUUAAAUUAGCCCAUAAAUACUAAUAAUACUAAUAUUGAAUAUUGGGAGAUAAUGAGCACAGCAUUUCUGAACAUUAAAUUAGCCCAUAAAUUCUAUUAAUACUAAUAUUGACUAUUGGGAGAUAAUGAGCACAGCUUUAAAGCAUUUCUACAUUACACCUCAUUUAAUAUAAUACUAUUAGUGCUGCCAUGCAAUCAAUCUGGAAACUUUAAUGCAUUUAAUACUAAUUAAUCAUGUUAUCAAGUUUACAGAGCUUGUGUAGUGAAAUACAAUACCAGUCAAAAGUUUGGACACACCUUUUCAUUCAAAGUUUUUCUUAAUUUCUUUCUUUAAUUUAUUUUCUACCUGGAGAUUAAUAUUAAAGACUUGAAAAACAUUUAGAGACGCAUAUGGAAUUAUUUUGUAAACGAUAUGAAUUUACAAUAUAAUAUAAAAACCAUAAAAAUACACUGAAUGAGAAAAGAUGUCAUAAGGUUUUGAAGUUUUUAAAUUAUGCAACGAGAAUUGACAUCAUCAAUAGCAAUUAAACUUAUUGUAAUAAAAAUAAUGUGUGAUAAAUUCAGAUUUAGUGCUUUCAUCGUUAAGCAGUUACCAGCAGGUGGCGCCAGUUGAAAGAUUUUGAAAUGCAGUGAAAUUGAACAUACAGCUCUGGAAAAAAAUGAAAAGAAAAUUAUGAGUUUCUUUGAUUUUACCAAAUUAAAAACAUAUGGAAUAUAAUCAAGAGGAAGAUGGAUGAUCACAUGCCAUCAAACCAAGCUGAUGUUAUCCAAAAGCAGUGUGUAAGACUGGUGGAGGAGAACAUGAUGUCAAGAUGCAUGAAAAGUGUGUUUAAAAACCGGGGUUAUUCCACCAAAUAUUGAUUUCUGAACUCUUCUUUGCAUUAUUUGAGGUCUGUAAGCUGAACUUUCAGUAGUUUAUAGACUACAAUGUUCGUUUUACUCAAACAAAUACCUAUAAAUAGCUAAAUCAGAGAAACUAAUUCAGAAACUGAAGUGCUCUCUUAUUUUUUUCCAGAGCUGUAGGUCUUUUUAAUGACCAUAUAUAACAUAUUGAAAUGUUUUAACAUGACUGAAUAUGAGAAAUCUUAAAAGGUACUGUGAAAUGUCUGAUGUGGGAAAUUUAAAUAAAUGGGAUACCGUUUCCCCUCUGUGCCUACUGGGCAUGCACACUAAAGGGGCCCCCAAAAGCCUUGAAACAGCCGAGUGUAAUCGUUAAGGGCAAGUACUAGAACUAGAAUAAGUGGAAGAAUCUGCACUUACGUUGCUGCUCCAGCUUGAAACGCAGCUUGGGUCACGCAUGGCAUGCGUGACAAUUUGAGGCAGGGUGAAG